GCAAAAAACAGUGCGAAAAACAAACACAACACGUUAAAAGUAAAGCUAAAUUAUGUUAAAUUUGCUUUGUUAGUACGAAAGUGACAAAGGCAUAAACAACUGUUAAAACGACAUUAAAACGAAGCACAUUGUAAAACUGCAGAUAAAAGGUCCACAAGGGCCUUUUUCUGUUUGGCUGGUUCUUACGAACCACACCAUAAUUAUCCCCAGGCAACCAACAGUUCCGGACAGAAAACACCGUUCGAGACCGGAGUCGAGCAAGCACUUGGUAUCGACUCGAACAUAACCUCGUCUUGGACCGGUCAGCAUCAAAACAACAUCUUUUAGCCCGACGCUGGUGUCGAAAGGUCAACAAACAACAAUCAUACCAGCAUGCUUUAUUUCCGGCCGUUCCCAACUAUGCUAGAACCGGCAAGUAUUGGGGCGGCAUUUUGCAUGUCAGUCGUCUCCAGCCAGGUGCCUCCGUUACUGGUUGAGACGGUGAAUAAUAAGCCGACAGAGGAAUCGCAGCCGCGCGGCGAUUAACCAACGCCGAGGAAGAACCAAAGCCGCAAGUAUUAAUAGUGUGUGACGUCAUGCCAGGGCCCAUCCGUAAAAUAAACUUAAGCAUUAUUGUAAUCGCAUCCAAAAAUUGUGUAACUGUAGAAAUCCGUAAUCGCUUUACACUUCCGGGAAUCGUUAAAGUUUCGAACCAAAAUGGUUAUCAAAUCUCUCUCUAGGGUGGUCCGCUCAGUGAUUCACAGUUUGCGUUGUUUAUCAUAUUUUGAAUUUCCGACUCUGGUUGAUAGCAUGAGAGGUACCCACCCGUUUCGGCACCUCUGAAAAACAUGUUAGCUGUAAUUGGAAUCCCUUGCGUGAGGUUACUCCAGAAGACGGUGUAACGUAGUGAAUUUCCCUGUAACGACCCUGAGUCCCACCAUAAUCUCUCCUUCCCAUGUUCCCACCCACUGAGUGUAGCUGUCCGCGAGUUACAACCCCUAUGGUGGAGCUCCAGGCCGCUCAUCCGUAUCGUAGUUCCGACAGUGCUACGCUCGCAAGGAGAUGUCUCUAGUUACUCUUUGGACCAUGGCAGUUCGGCAUGAUCCGGGACAAUGAAUCGCUUCAGCUGCUGUUUCGACGAUGUCGUGUGUCCUCCAACAGUAAUCUCCAUGUCCGCACAAUUUUGCCGCCAACCGUGGCCUAGAGGAUAGCGUUUAAGUCUUCUAAGCCAGAGGGCAUGAGAUCGAGUCUCGGUCACGGCAAACAUAGUACUAUUUCUGUGGGUCGGUAGUAUUUGUAAGCAGGCCUCGGCAUCGUCGAAAUAAAAAAUUGAAAGUAAAAUUUCCUGUCAUUCGCCUCAUCUCACCGUUAGUCGAUUUCGAGCACAUCAUUCUCAUCUGUCAGAUCGAAGCAAACACU